rnacentral:rRNA from 1 species
AUUGAACGCUGGCGGCAGGCCUAACACAUGCCAGUCGAGCGGAUGAAGGGAGCUUGCUCCUGGAUUCAGCGGCGGACGGGUGAGUAAUGCCUAGGAAUCUGCCUGGUAGUGGGGGAUAACGUCCGGAAACGGGCGCUAAUACCGCAUACGUCCUGAGGGAGAAAGUGGGGGAUCUUCGGACCUCACGCUAUCAGAUAAGCCUAGGUCGGAUUAGCUAGUUGGUGGGGUAAAGGCCUACCAAGGCGACGAUCCGUAACUGGUCUGAGAGGAUGAUCAGUCACACUGGAACUGAGACAAGGUCCAGAAUCCUACGGGAGGCAGCAGUGGGGAAUAUUGGACAAUGGGCGAAAGCCUGAUCCAGCCAUGCCGCGUGUGUGAAGAAGGUCUUCGGAUUGUAAAGCACUUUAAGUUGGGAGGAAGGGCAGUAAGUUAAUACCUUGCUGUUUUGACGUUACCAACAGAAUAAGCACCGGCUAACUUCGUG